UUAAAGUGGUCAUGCAUUUGUUCAUUAUUUUGACCGAAAUUGGCAAAGAAUAAGAAAGAAAAGAAGCAAGCUAGGUUCGGCCAUGGCUAUCUUUAAUUAAGAUCAAGAAAUGAGGAAAUCAGAUUUGGAUCGGGGAAAGUAAAAAAUUAUCGAAUAGUUGUUCCGGUCCGUUCGUGUUAGUACGAGAUUUUCAGAGAUUUUCUCGGGUUGGAAGUCGAUGGAGACGUCAUCACACUAUUCGAUUAUCAUUUCAGUAAAUAAUGUUUUACGAUUUGGUUAUGUGGCAUGUAUAGACUAGAAGUAUGUGAAUAUGUUUGUAGAUGUAAAUAUAUGUUUUGGCAAGUGAUAUGGCCUGAUAAUGAAUGUGAAUAUGGUUUGGUUUUGUUAUGGUUUAUGUGAUGAGAAAAUGGUAUGAUUUGAUGCAUAUGAAUGACUAAAUGAAAUGGUCAA